rnacentral:rRNA from 1 species
UAGGGAAUCUUCCACAAUGGGCGAAAGCCUGGUGGAGCAACGCCGCGUGUGUGAUGAAGGGUUUCGGCUCGUAAAACACUGUUGUAAGAGAAGAAUGACAUUGAGAGUAACUGUUCAAUGUGUGACGGUAUCUUACCAGAAAGGAACGGCUAAAUACGUGCCGG